AGAGUUUGAUCCUGGCUCAGGAUGAACGCCGGCGGUGUGCCUAAUACAUGCAAGUCGUACGCACUGGCCCAACUGAUUGAUGGUGCUUGCACCUGAUUGACGAUGGAUCACCAGUGAGUGGCGGACGGGUGAGUAACACGUAGGUAACCUGCCUCGGAGCGGGGGAUAACAUUUGGAAACAGAUGCUAAUACCGCAUAACAACAAAAGCCACAUGGCUUUUGUUUGAAAGAUGGCUUUGGCUAUCACUCUGGGAUGGACCUGCGGUGCAUUAGCUAGUUGGUAAGGUAACGGCUUACCAAGGCAAUGAUGCAUAGCCGAGUUGAGAGACUGAUCGGCCACAAUGGAACUGAGACACGGUCCAUACUCCUACGGGAGGCAGCAGUAGGGAAUCUUCCACAAUGGGCGCAAGCCUGAUGGAGCAACACCGCGUGAGUGAAGAAGGGUUUCGGCUCGUAAAGCUCUGUUGUUGGAGAAGAACGUGCGUGAGAGUAACUGUUCACGCAGUGACGGUAUCCAACCAGAAAGUCACGGCUAACUACGUGCCAGCAGCCGCGGUAAUACGUAGGUGGCAAGCGUUAUCCGGAUUUAUUGGGCGUAAAGCGAGCGCAGGCGGUUGCUUAGGUCUGAUGUGAAAGCCUUCGGCUUAACCGAAGAAGUGCAUCGGAAACCGGGCGACUUGAGUGCAGAAGAGGACAGUGGAACUCCAUGUGUAGCGGUGGAAUGCGUAGAUAUAUGGAAGAACACCAGUGGCGAAGGCGGCUGUCUGGUCUGCAACUGACGCUGAGGCUCGAAAGCAUGGGUAGCGAACAGGAUUAGAUACCCUGGUAGUCCAUGCCGUAAACGAUGAGUGCUAGGUGUUGGAGGGUUUCCGCCCUUCAGUGCCGGAGCUAACGCAUUAAGCACUCCGCCUGGGGAGUACGACCGCAAGGUUGAAACUCAAAGGAAUUGACGGGGGCCCGCACAAGCGGUGGAGCAUGUGGUUUAAUUCGAAGCUACGCGAAGAACCUUACCAGGUCUUGACAUCUUGCGCUAACCUUAGAGAUAAGGCGUUCCCUUCGGGGACGCAAUGACAGGUGGUGCAUGGUCGUCGUCAGCUCGUGUCGUGAGAUGUUGGGUUAAGUCCCGCAACGAGCGCAACCCUUGUUACUAGUUGCCAGCAUUAAGUUGGGCACUCUAGUGAGACUGCCGGUGACAAACCGGAGGAAGGUGGGGACGACGUCAGAUCAUCAUGCCCCUUAUGACCUGGGCUACACACGUGCUACAAUGGACGGUACAACGAGUCGCAAGCUCGCGAGAGUAAGCUAAUCUCUUAAAGCCGUUCUCAGUUCGGACUGUAGGCUGCAACUCGCUUACACGAAGUCGGAAUCGCUAGUAAUCGCGGAUCAGCAUGCCGCGGUGAAUACGUUCCCGGGCCUUGCACACACCGCCCGUCA
rnacentral:rRNA from 1 species